rnacentral:rRNA from 1 species
GCCUCCCUCUUUCUUCGUGCUUAACACAUGCAAGUCGAACGGAAAGGCCCUGCUUGCAGGGUACUCGAGUGGCGAAUGGGUGAGUAACACGUGGGUGAUCUGCCCUGCACUUCGGGAUAAGCCUGGGAAACUGGGUCUAAUACCGGAUAGGAGCCAUUUUUAGUGUGAUGGUUGGAAAGUUUUUUCGGUGUAGGAUGAGCUCGCGGCCUAUCAGCUUGUUGGUGGGGUAAUGGCCUACCAAGGCGGCGACGGGUAGCCGGCCUGGGAGGGUGGACGGCCACAUUGGGACUGAGAUACGGCCCAGACUCCUACGGGAGGCAGAAGUGGGGAAUAUUGCACAAUGGGCGCAAGCCUGAUGCAGCGACGCCGCGUGGGGGAUGACGGCCUUCGGGUUGUAAACUCCUUUCGCUAGGGACGAAGCUUUUUGUGACGGUACCUAGAUAAGAAGCACCGGCUAACUACGUG